CGGUUAUUCGUACGAAAACUCGAAAACGAUAACAAACAUAUAGCAUACUGACACAACGCUACAUUCGGUAUUCGAGUAUUUCGAGCGUUUUAUAUAUAUUUUAUCGACCGUUCACUAAUAAAUAGCAUGUCUAUGUAUCUGUACGUACAAUAGUUGUUGAAUCUCUUUAGUAUUAGUUAAAUCCUUAUUAAACAAUUAAAUACGUUACCUUCGAAAAUGCCACUUUUUAUAAAAACACGAAUCGAUAUUCGAUC